ACCGGAUAGGACGAAAGUUUAAAGAUGCUCCUGGCAUCACUGAUGGAUGAGCCUGCGGCGCAUUAGCUAGUUGGUGGGGUAAAGGCCUACCAAGGCGACGAUGCGUAGCCGACCUGAGAGGGUGAACGGCCACACUGGGACUGAGACACGGCCCAGACUCCUACGGGAGGCAGCAGUAGGGAAUCUUCGGCAAUGGGCGAAAGCCUGACCGAGCAACGCCGCGUGAAUGAAGAAGGCCUUCGGGUUGUAAAAUUCUGUUAUAAGGGAAGAAAGGUGAUAGGAGGAAAUGACUAUCAAUUGACGGUACCUUAUGAGAAAGCCACGGCUAACUACGUGCCAGCAGCCGCGGUAAUACGUAGGUGGCAAGCGUUAUCCGGAAUUAUUGGGCGUAAAGAGCGCGCAGGUGGUUAAUUAAGUCUGAUGUGAAAGCCCACGGCUUAACCGUGGAGGGUCAUUGGAAACUGGUUGACUUGAGUGCAGAAGAGGGAAGUGGAAUUCCAUGUGUAGCGGUGAAAUGCGUAGAGAUAUGGAGGAACACCAGUGGCGAAGGCGGCUUCCUGGUCUGCAACUGACACUGAGGCGCGAAAGCGUGGGGAGCAAAAGGGAUUAGAUACCCUGGUAGUCCACGCCGUAAACGAUGAGUGCUAAAGGUUGGGGGGCGAAACCUCAGUGGUUGAAUUUAAGCAUUAAGCACUCCCGCUGGGGGAAUACGGUCGCAAGACUGAAACUCAAAGGAAUUGACGAGGACCCGCACAAGCGGUGGAGCAUGUGGUUUAAUUCGAAGCAAACGCGAAGAAACCUUACCAGGUCUUGACAUACCAUUGACGCCUCUAGAGAUAGAGGGUUUCCUUCGGGGACAAUGGAUACAGGUGGUGCAUGGUUGUCGUCAGCUCGUGUCGUGAGAUGUUGGGUUAAGUCCCGCAACGAGCGCAACCCCUGUCGUUAGUUGCCAGCAGUAAGAUGGGGACUCUAACGAGACUGCCAGUGACAAACUGGAGGAAGGUGGGGAUGACGUCAAAUCAUCAUGCCCCUUAUGACCUGGGCUACACACGUGCUACAAUGGUUGGUACAAAGAGAAGCGAAGCGGUGACGUGGAGCAAACCUCAUAAAGCCAAUCUCAGUUCGGAUUGUAGGCUACAACUCGCCUACAUGAAGUUGGAAUCGCUAGUAAUCGCGAAUCAGAAUGUCGCGGUGAAUACGUUCCCGGGUAUUGUACACACCGCCCGUCACACCAUGGGAGUCGGAAAUGCCCGAAGUCAGUGACCUAACCGAAAGG
rnacentral:rRNA from 1 species